GGGGGCGAAAGGCUUCGACCGGAUGGGUAGAGAAGCAGGUUGCAUGUCCAGGAUGUCGGUUGGCCUGGCUAAUCAUCCGACACAAAUUUAAUUGGCAACUACCAAUUAAGAAUGGCUGCUUAAUUUAAGCACCCGUCCAGCGAGACAUCUCCCGCGUGUUUCGCAUGGGCGUCAACUAGCGGGAUCGCCGCAAAGGGCCGUUUGUCCUGAUGCAGUUAAAAACCAACAAACUGGCCGAGCUGAAAGCCUGUUGAUCGGCGUUCAGCGAAGCGAGAUACAAAUGAUUAACUAAACAUGUAGAUGCCUGUUUUGAAACAUUUCGGGACGCGGGUUCGAAUCCCGCCGCCUCCA
rnacentral:tmRNA from 1 species